AUUGAACGCUGGCGGCAGGCCUAACACAUGCAAGUCGAGCGCGAAAGUUCUUCGGAAUGAGUAAAGCGGCGGACGGGUGAGUAAUACAUGGGAAUCUGCCUGGUAGUGGGGGACAACGUUUCGAAAGGAACGCUAAUACCGCAUACGCCCUACGGGGGAAAGGGGGGGAUCGCAAGACCUCUCGCUAUCAGACGAGCCCA
rnacentral:rRNA from 1 species